rnacentral:rRNA from 1 species
CCUUGUACACACCGCCCGUCAAGUCAUGAAAGUCGGUAACACCCAACGCCAGUGGCCUAACCCCUUGUGGGAGGGAGCUGUCUAAGGUGGGAUCGGUGAUUAGGACU